rnacentral:rRNA from 1 species
AGAGCGAACGCUGGCGGCAGGCCUAACACAUGCAAGUCGAGCGGCCGUAGCAAUACGGCAGCGGCAGACGGGAGAGUAACACGUGGGAACGCGCCCUUCGGUUCGGAAUAACUCAGGGAAACUUGGGCUAAUACCGGAUACGCCCUUACGGGGAAAGAUUUAUUGCCGAAGGAACGGCCCGCGUCCGAUUAGCUUGUUGGUGAGGUAACGGCUCACCAAGGCGACGAUCGGUAGCUGGUCUGAGAGGAUGACCAGCCUCACUGGGACUGAGACACGGCCCAGACUCCUACGGGAGGCAGCAGUGGGGAAUAUUGGACAAUGGGCGCAAGCCUGAUCCAGCCAUGCCGCGUGGGUGAUGAAGGCCCUAGGGUUGUAAAGCCCUUUCGGCGGGAAGAUAAUGACGGUACCCGCAGAAGAAGCCCCGGCUAACGUUCGCGCCAGCAGCCGC